AUUUAAAUAGCUUAUAAUUAGAGCGUAAUAUUGAAGAUAUUAAGGGAACAAUAGUUGUUUUUAAAUA
rnacentral:tRNA from 1 species